rnacentral:rRNA from 1 species
UAGUCCACGCCCUAAACGAUGUCAACUAGACGUUGGGCUCAUAAAUGAGCUUAGUGUCGAAGCUAACGCGUUAAGUUGACCGCCUGGGGAGUACGGCCGCAAGGUUGAAACUCAAAGGAAUUGACGGGGGCCCGCACAAGCGGUGGAGCAUGUGGUUUAAUUCGAUGCAACGCGAAGAACCUUACCAGCCCUUGACAUCCUGGGAACUUUGUAGAGAUACAUCGGUGCCUUCGGGAAUCCAGUGACAGGUGCUGCACGGCUGUCGUCAGCUCGUGUCGUGAGAUGUUGGGUUAAGUCCCGCAACGAGCGCAACCCUUGUUUUUAGUUGUCAUCAUUUAGUUGGGCACUUUAAAAAGACUGCCGGUGACAAACCGGAGGAAGGUGAGGAUGACGUCAAGUCAGCAUGCCCCUUAUGUUCUGGGCUACACACGUGCUACAAUGGUUAGGACAAAGAGUCGCCAACUUGCAAAAGUGAGCUAAUCUCGUAAACCUAAUCUCAGUUCGGAUCGCAGG